GCCUCUGUGGAUCAAGGUCAGAUCACCUCAGUCCGGUGUUGUCUUCUUCACUCUACACGAGGAGAUGUGGGUUCGAAUCCUACCAGAGGCA